GUAUUUUGACUCAAAAUUUUUGAGUUGCCAACAUUUUAACAUUCAAAUUGAGCGCCAUCAACUUCAUGCGGAAAGAGGUUGAAAUAAUGGGGAAAGAAAGUGUUUCCGCUUCUGGAUUUUAGUGUUGGUCUCGUUGUUAAAGUUAUUGUGUCAUCUUUAAAGUUAAGUUUACAUCAUGCCUAAGCAAAUCCAAGAAAUCAAAGAUUUUCUCAUCACCGCAAGACGGAAGGAUGCCAAAUCUGUUAAAAUAAAGAAAAAUAAGGAUAAUGUUAAAUUUAAGGUACGAUGUUCAAGGUAUUUGUACACCUUGGUUACACAGGACCGAGAAAAGGCAGAGAAGCUCAAGCAAUCUUUACCUCCUGGACUUCAAGUUAAAGAAUUAAAGUAAAUUAAUUAAUCGGAGAUGAUCCUGCUUUUCAACUUUGUAAAACCUUGUUCUAUGGUGUUUCUCCUGCAUCCAAUAAAAAGAUGACAAUAUAAA